rnacentral:rRNA from 1 species
CGUAGUUGAAUUUCUGGUCGUGGCUACCGGUCCGCCCCUCACGGGGUGUGCACCUGGUCUCUGCGUCCAUCCUCGGGGAGAGCGCGUCUGGCAUUCAGUUGUCGGGCGCGGGAUCCUCGUCAUUUACUGUGAGCAAAAUAGAGUGUUCAAAGCAGGCUUAGGCCGUUGAAUACAUUAGCAUGGAAUAAUAAGAUAGGACCUUGGUCUAUUUUGUUGGUUUGCAUUCCAAGGUAAUGA